rnacentral:siRNA from 1 species
ACCAUCUAGUCAUCAUCUGUCUU